rnacentral:rRNA from 1 species
AGUGAACGCUGGCGGUAGGCCUAACACAUGCAAGUCGAACGGCAGCACAGUAAGAGCUUGCUCUUACGGGUGGCGAGUGGCGGACGGGUGAGGAAUACAUCGGAAUCUACUUUUUCGUGGGGGAUAACGUAGGGAAACUUACGCUAAUACCGCAUACGACCUACGGGUGAAAGCAGGGGAUCUUCGGACCUUGCGCGAUUGAAUGAGCCGAUGUCGGAUUAGCUAGUUGGCGGGGUAAAGGCCCACCAAGGCGACGAUCCGUAGCUGGUCUGAGAGGAUGAUGAGCCACACUGGGACUGAGACACGGUCCUGACUCCUACGGGAGGCAGCAGUGGGGAAUAUUGGACAAUGGGCGCAAGCCUGAUCCAGCCAUACCGCGUGGGUGAAGAAGGCCUUCGGGUUGUAAAGCCCUUUUGUUGGGAAAGAAAAGCAGCAGGUUAAUACCCCGCUGUUCUGACGGUACCCAAAGAAUAAGCACCGGCUAACUUCGUG